CAUACGACCGUACCGCAAACCGACACUGGUGCGCGAGAUGAGUAUUCUAAGGCGCUUGAGAGAACUCAGGAGAAGGAACUCGGCAAAUUGACACCGUAACUUCGGAAGAAGGUGUGCCCUAUUAGUGUGUAGUGAACAACGAAGCAUGAAUGGGUUGCAAAAAAUCGGUGGCUGCGACUGUUUAUUAAAAACACAGCACUCUGCAAACACGGAAGUGGACGUAUAGGGUGUGACGCCUGCCCGGUGCUGGAAGAUUAAAUGAUGGGGUGCAAGCUCUUGAUUGAAGUCCCAGUAAACGGCGGCCGUAACAAUAACGGUCCUAAGGUAGCGAAAUUCCUUGUCGGGUAAGUUCCGACCUGCACGAAUGGCGUAACGAUGGCCACACUGUCUCCUCCUGAGACUCAGCGAAGUUGAAAUGUUUGUGAUGAUGCAAUCUCCCCGCGGAAAGACGGAAAGACCCCAUGAACCUUUACUGUAGCUUUGUAUUGGACUUUGAACAGAUCUGUGUAGUAUAGGUGGGAGGCUUUGAAGCAGGGUCGCUAGAUCUUGUGGAGCCAACGUUGAAAUACCACCCUGGUGUGUUUGAGGUUCUAACCUAGGUCCAUUAUCUGGAUCGGGGACAGUGCAUGGUAGGCAGUUUGACUGGGGCGGUCUCCUCCCAAAGCGUAACGGAGGAGUUCGAAGGUACGCUAGUUACGGUCGGACAUCGUGACGAUAGUGCAAUGGCAUAAGCGUGCUUAACUGCGAGACUGACAAGUCGAGCAGAUGCGAAAGCAGGACAUAGUGAUCCGGUGGUUCUGUAUGGAAGGGCCAUCGCUCAACGGAUAAAGGUACUCUGGGGAUAACAGGCUGAUACCGCCCAAGAGUUCAUAUCGACGGCGGUGUUUGGCACCUCGAUGUCGGCUCAUCUCAUCCUGGGGCUGUAGCCGGUCCCAAGGGUAUGGCUGUUCGCCAUUUAAAGAGGUACGUGAGCUGGGUUUAAAACGUCGUGAGACAGUUUGGUCCCUAUCUUCCGUGGGCGCUGCAGAUUUGAGGAAGCCUGCUCCUAGUACGAGAGGACCGGAGUGGACACACCUCUGGUGUAUCGGUUGUCACGCCAGUGGCAUUGCCGAGUAGCUAAGUGUGGAAGAGAUAACCGCUGAAAGCAUCUAAGCGGGAAACUCGUUUCAAGAUGAGAUCUGCCGGGGCCUUGAGCCCCCUAAAGAGUCGUUCAAGACCAGGACGUUGAUAGGUCAGGUGUGGAAGCGAAAAAAAAAAAAUAU
rnacentral:rRNA from 1 species